GCAUGUGCUUAUAGGGGGAAGAAUAAGAAAAUACGCAUAAUCAUAUCUAUCUACUCUGAGAUUGUAGCUUGUAGCUUGUAGCUUGUACCCAGUUUAAUUUGCAGUGGAAGAGUUCAAUUUGAGAGAGAAUGCACAACUGCAAUAAGUGAGAGGUAAGUCCAACAUCUGUAGAUGAGGAUAAUGGUGUUUAUGUGCUAACCCUAGAAGCAGUUGAUGCUGAUCAUGUGGUCAAAACUUACCAAACAAUAGUCAAGGACAAUCGCUCUGGCAACUAUCCGCAGAAGCUCCAUUUCUAUGGUCUAAUAUUGGAGUUUGAUGAACCUGAUCAUGAUUUUGAUAAAGAUUGAGGUCAUCAUGGACUGGCCAGCUCAUGCAUAACCGAGGUUUUUUGGUACGUUCUAAUAAAGUAGGUGUUUGAACAGAAUGCACAUGCAAGGAACUUUGACUGCAAUUUCAGUUUAUUUUAAGCGGGAGAUCUUAUAUAUAGGUGUUUGCUC